UCUUCUGGAUAUUGCAGUUAUUGUUCGAAAUCGGUCUAUAACCAUAUAAACCGAUCUCUCGGUUAGCCCUCUACGGCCUCUAAAAGCUUACAAUUUUACCUGGUGUGGUAGAAAUUUGGUACAAUCAUAGAAAAAAGUCUGCUAAUAAAAGCAGAAAAAGUCUACCGCCUCGGUACUAACUUCGGUGACCACUAACAGUUCGGAGACAUUACUUGCUACCAUCAACUGACUUUUUUUCUUUGAGUGUACACAUGCAUUGUUUGUCAAAAAUAAUCCUUAUGUUUUCAAUGCAAACAUUUUUAAACCAAAUUGAAAUAGAUCAACAUACCAUUUUCGCUCCAACCGGCCACAACUCCUGUACUGCCCACUGCUAUUGCACUGUCACUUACAGGUUGAAUUCAUCAUGGAAAAUAAUCCAGAGGACCCUUUCAAAUUACAUGAAUCUCAGUCUUUAUCAUCGGCAGUCGAAAAUAUUAUGAACUGUACCUGUAAUUUUAAAAUGACUGAAUCCCGUUGGGACUUUUGCCGGAGCCUUGGCAUAUUCAUUGCUGGUGUUGCAUUAACAAUACAACUCAAAACUGUGGUACACAACAUAAUGCAGAACUAACAUCAUCCAAUCCACUCAAUAAAUUAAUUUCUUCUA